rnacentral:rRNA from 1 species
AUUGAACGCUGGCGGCAUGCUUUACACAUGCAAGUCGAACGGUAACAGCACUUCGGUGGCUGACGAGUGGCGAACGGGUGAGUAAUACAUCGGAACGUGCCUAGUAGUGGGGGAUAACUACUCGAAAGAGUAGCUAAUACCGCAUGAGAUCUAAGGAUGAAAGCAGGGGACCUUCGGGCCUUGCGCUACUAGAGCGGCUGAUGGCAGAUUAGGUAGUUGGUGGGAUAAAAGCUUACCAAGCCGACGAUCUGUAGCUGGUCUGAGAGGACGACCAGCCACACUGGGACUGAGACACGGCCCAGACUCCUACGGGAGGCAGCAGUGGGGAAUUUUGGACAAUGGGCGCAAGCCUGAUCCAGCAAUGCCGCGUGAAGGAUGAAGGCCUUCGGGUUGUAAACUGCUUUUGUACGGAACGAAAAGCCCUCUUCUAAUACAGGAGGGUCAUGACGGUACCGGAAGAAUAAGCACCGGCUAACUACGUG